CCCUCAACUGCCCCUCAUUACCAUAUGAAAGAGGAUGGAAAAUGACUGCGUCAUAUCUGAGUGAUAGCAAUGUUCAGAAGAAUAGCCUUUCUUCAGAUUCUCAUUUCUUGGGCCCAUGUUUUAUAAAGGUCAUGUUUCCCAGUAAGUUCUUUCUUCCCUCAGUGUGGCAAUUCUGUUGCUGUAUUAUGUAUAUUCUUUUUCUGCAAGCAAGUCAGGGCACAUUACUGAGAACACAUAAGAAUGAGCUUGGUCUAUGGGGAAGAACUACAAGAAAAGGCUCUUUUCUUUCCAAAAUGUAUGUGUUAUAUAGCCUACCUAGUAUUCCCUUGCCAGCUCACAGAAAUAGUGGUCCUUAAAUGGCUACCAUCCCAUGUUUUCUAUUACAUUAGAGACAAAACUGCUGUUCACCUUCAUUCAUGGAAGGGAGGAAAUAUCUACAAAGCGGAAGGAGCUCCUGUCUAAUGGACUAUCAAUUUCCUCUAAUAUAGAUUGGAUAGAUGGAUAAUGAAUGGAUAAAUAAUCAGACUUGGAACCAUCACAUGACUCCAGGA